UUUUUAACAUAUAUGAGAAUAGUAAGCUUUAAAAGGAAAUAUAGGUGUGGGCAUUCUCCAUUUACCUUGGAUACAAAAUAGAUUUUCAGCCUUUGAUGAAAAGAACAGGCAGUGCCCCAUUCCAAGGAAAGAGUGUGAAAUCAGAGAGAGAACUCUGAAAAAAAGCUCCUGCUUACCCCCCAUUCUAAUCAGAAUGUUUUUAAACAAGCUGCCCUGAUAUUAAGUGACAGAGCAAAGUCACUGCUUUUAUGAAAAGUGGCGCGAGAAGGUGAGGGACACCUCUAAGGAAAAAGGGCCUUUGCCAUUAAUAAUUAUCUAUAAGGAACAAAUAGUGCCUGGGAAGUGGGGCUGGAUUCAGAGAAAUAGAAAUCUAAAACAUUAGGGCAGACCUCUGCUUUUUCAUGAGAUAUUGCUGAUGCUGAAUGCAUAUUUCCAACGAGAACAAAGCUGAUAACAAAGCCAUCUUGCACGCAUCCAUUCUGGAAUAUUAAAGAGAAAUGUCUCCCAUGUUAUUAAGCCACUUAUAAUUAUUUCUGACAUGUCAAAAAUACUGAGGAUACAGAGAAUAGUCGAAGAUUAGGGGUUAACAUUUUUUUAAUGUGAUGUCAGUCUUCAAAGAAUUGAACAAGUGGCCCCAGAAAUGAUCAUUUCUUUAAGUAUGACACUGCCACUUAAUAAACCAGCAGAGAAAAUAUUGGAAGGAAUUCUGUCAACAUUCUGAGACUAGUGUAAUUUUGAACAAUCAAGCAUAAUGGCAAGAUCAAGCCUCGUGUCAGGCUGUAUGACUUGUAAUUCUGUGAAAUUAUAAAACUUGUGAACAAAAGGGAAUGAGAAAUAUGUAACUAUGGAAUGGAGGUAAAGAAUCAGGAAGCAUGAAAUUCCAGUUCUGUCCCCUCUGACCUUACUGAUAUGCAAAUUGGCUCAUUAUGUCAAAUCGGCCGAGUUGAAACAAUAAAGGUUUCCUAAGAAAAGAAUUUCCAGUUUUACCACAGAAAAAGAUAAGUUUUGCAUUUGGAAUGUCUGAAAGCAUCUGAAGUGUUGUCUCAUUAAAAUUUAUGAUCAGAAUUAAUUCACAUUCAUUUUGUUAAGAGCCAAAUCACCUGGGUUGAAUUUGUGUGGGGAAUCUUAAAAAUAGAUAAUAAGAAGUGACAGCGGGUCUGCGGAGUGGCCAGUGAGGACCACUCAUAAAUCUGAUUUUUUUCUUUUUCUUUUGUUAACUUUCCAUUUGGCGUUUAGCGAUUGGUGUUGGGGAAUCAAUGUCAUUUAUUGGCAUUUGCGUUUGUUAUGAAAUAAGUAGAAUCUUUUUUUUUUUUAAAUAAGUAGAAUCCUUUAUAAAUCACUCAGGUUGAAGGAUUUUAACAGCCUUAAAUAAGACCCAAACAUGUGGCAAUAAGAGAAAAUAAGACUGCUGGAAGAAAAUAAUAAUUUUGUGCCUGGUACUGUGCUCAGGUGACUUAAUGAUGCCCGCAGACAGAAAGCCUGAGCAUGGAAUGGAUACCCUUCCCACAAAGUUGCUGAAAUGGUCUGUUUCCUUUGCUAUGGAUGGCUCAUCAUCUCAAGUGAGAGACCAGAUUGUGCUGUUAGGCUCCAAAUUGUCCCCUAUUCUCCACAUCCUCUUGGUGGCAAAGGGCUGAGCAGAGCAUUUCCUCUUCAUUCCCUUGUUGUCCGCGUAGAUAAUUCCUAGUGGAGGAUGCUGGCAUCUCUUGCCAGUAAAAGUCGCCGCGCAUUUCCUGGCCCUCCAUUUCCCUUCUAACUGAAUUACUAUCAGGAAAUGUACUUCUUCUCUAACACUUUAACCACCUUCUUCUACCUCCAUGAGUUCUAAUCCUAGAACCAUCCCUCACUUGAUAAUACUAUAGGCAGAUGAGUAUUUCUGGAACACACCUCGCUCAUCUACAGAACCAGAGGCUAAUUAUUGUUAAAAUCUCAUUUCAGAAUGAAAGUCAGCUGCCCUGGGGAGUUUAGGAGUCCCUUCUGAAUGUUGAUGGCAGUAAGCUUUCAUGGGCACAGAUGUAGGAUUAAAAAUGGAGAUUUUGUGGGCUUUCUUUCACCAUUCCAUUUUCUGUCUACUUUCUUUAUGCCACACGAGGCUGCACAUUGACCUCUCUAUUCAAAAAUUUAAAUCUUGACGGGGAUGCUACACUAGACAUUAGUACUUCCUUCCCCUCUGGAUCACCAUGGAAUAUGCCAUCUCUGAGGUACUGGGACAUGAGUCAAAGAUUCUUCUCCUCAAGUGGUUCCCAAGUCCCACGGCACCUGAACCACAAAAAGGUAGUUCUGUGCAUCCUGGGAGUCUACAGGCAGAAGUUUGAGCUUUACCCAGAAUAGCUUCUCUCUGGUUCUUCUGCUGGGCCUCCAGGCUUCUCACUCUCUCUCUGGUGACAGUGUCCAUUUUAGAACCAAAAAGAAGAAAAGUUUCAAUCUGUUCUUUCUGCUUUGUAUAACACUUACCAAAUAGCUCAGUGCAGGUGGGUACUCAGUGAGUCGUUUUCCUCUAAUACUUGUGUUACCCUCUCUUUGCAAUGGAAAUGUCUAUUUCAGGUUCCUAAGCAGCCAUUUGUAAAUCACCCAUGUGCCCUCAAAGAGUUGGGACUUAACCAUAAGCCUAAGCUUUUAGAAUAAAGAGAAGGUAAAGGAGCGAAGAAAGAAACAGACAAGCUGAAUAUGUGGAUAGUUUUACUACUGUUGAAGUGCACAAUUGUUAAAAUUGCAUCCCUGCUGUCCAGGUCUGUCCAGAUCAAUUUCACUUCAGCAACUCUGGGCAGAAAUCUGGAUUGUGUUAUAAAAAACAAAUAAUUAAGCAAGCAAUCCUUUUAUGUUACUUAGAACUUUACUAUAUAGAAAAAUCUAUUCCUGGCUUUUGAGGUAAGUGUCUGACAACAUUGUUAGCUCUGAUGACUUUUUGAGUAGUUCUGUCAUAUUCUGUGAUUUGCCUGAGCUCUUGCAACAUAAAGGGGAAUAAAAUUAUUUGUGGGAUCUGUCACAGUGAAUUUUUAAAGCCAAAUUGUCCCCAGGCUGAAAGGGUUUCCUGUGACUACAACUGAUUUUCCUAAAAUCCAUGUUAAGACUUGCAAACCUAAAUGACAAAACUUUUGAUUGUUAGUGCUUGGUGGCCGCUGAAGGCUAUAGGCUUAGUUGCAGCCACAAACUAGAUGUAAUAAAAGCAAUGACAUGUAUUUAUUGAGUGCUUGGUUGAAUCAUUUUACGUGGAUUAGUUUGUUUAAUCCUCAUAACUCUAAGCAAUAGUACUAUUUUUAUUCCCAUUUUAUAGAUGAGGAAUCUAAGUCAUGGAAAAAACUACUUGCCCAACUUGUAGCAUCAGGAUUUGACCUGAGGAGGCCUGAUUCCAUGAGGCAACAAUUAGGUACAUGCUCUAUUCAAAGCCCCUAUUUAAUUAACAAUUUUUAUACUAGCAUUUUAUUCCUUAUUUGUUAUUUUCCACAUUCAGUAAGCAUCCUCCAGAAUUUAAGUUUCAAAGGAGUAAAUGGUGGGGGGCCUGGGUGGCUCAGUUGGUUGAGCUUCUGACUCUUGAUUUCUGCUCAGGUCCUGAUGUCACAAUUUGUGAGAUCGAGCCCCGGGUCGGUCUCUGUGCUGUCAGUGUGGACCCUGCUUGGGAUCCUCUCUCUCCCUCUCUGUCUCUCUCCUGCUUAUGCUCUCUCUCUCUCUCAAAACAAAUAAAUAAACAUUAAAAAACAAAUUAAGGAGUAAAGCGUAUCCUGAAAUGAUGAUCAGUGAGAACUGAUUUUGCUUCUGACUACAUCUAACUUAUUCUGAAAGAAGGAGAUAAUGGCUCAAUAUGGAACAAAAUGCCUGUGAAGAAGAAGCAGAAAAUGAGCCAAGGGGCCAGAGCAGUUCAUAGAGCAAAGCUUUUAGUUCCAGGCAAAUUAAUUCCACGCAUAUAGGAAAGAAAGUACCAAUUUAAAGGAAUCACCGUUUGAUAUAAAUCCCUGUCCAUAAUACAUCAGUUUGGCUAGCAUGGCUGGGCAAGGAGAAGAGCAGCCAAGUAAAAGCAUAGACUCUGGAGCCAGACUCUCUGGAUUCAAAUCCUAGCCCCACCACUUUCUAACCAUGUGAUCCAGGGCAAGUCCCUCCUUGCCUCUUUGACUCUGUGUUCUUAUCUGUAAAAGAAUGAUAACAGUACUUGCCUUAUAGGGUAGUCAUGGGGAUUCAACGAGAUCAUGUAUAUAAGGCAUGUAGAACGGUGCCCAGCAUAUACUAAGUACCAGAAGGAUGUUUGCUUUAUAUGUCCUUAUGAGGUACUCAGUGUAUGACCAAGAUACAGACAGUGGUUUUAUAUUUAGACAUUCUUAGGGCUUUCAUAUAGGAAAAGGACACAGUAGAUUUGAUUCAUCUUAGAUGCACUUUGCUAAAUAAAGUAAUUUUUAGAUCACCUAGAUUUAUUUUAGUUUUAGAAUUUGAGUGUUAAUUUGUAAGGUCAAUCAACUAACCUGUUGCCAUGACUCAGUCCGAAGGUGGAAUUUUGCUCCCAGCAAAAGGGGAUUUAGCAUAUAAAUUGAACGAUUAUCAAACAGAGACAGACUGGCCACUAUCUUGAAAAUGGGAGUGGCAAAAAUGGGUGAUAAUGCUGCCUGCAAAAUCCAAGGGAUUAGGGAAACCAACCAGGGUUUAGAGUUUGACGUAGCAAAUGUAUUUUGAGGUGAUAUUGAUAGAAAUAAAGUGUAGCUCAUAGAUUAUAGUCUGGAUAGACUUCCGCACAUUUAAAUCUUCCCUCCUGCUUUCUUCAAAGAGUUGGAAUGGAUGGUCCGUGACAAAGCCUUCCAUGGAGGUAAGAGAGGCUUUAUUCCUUCAAGGCAAUUUGGUCCAACUCUGCUAGUUCACCCAUGGGGGAAGCCUGGCAAAAUUCCAAAGGUGAUUAGUGUUGUAUCUAUUAUUUCACAGGGUGGAGUGUGUUUGGGUAGAUGGAGGGAGAAACCUAUAAUUUCAUAGCUGCUGGUUGAACAUUUCUGCUAAACUUCUUUUUAUUUUAAAAAUUGGUGAAAAGAUCUCAACAUUCAAGAUGAUACGAGGUCAUUGAACUAUCCCCAGAAUAGAACGUACCCACAGUGGUUGCUAAAUCUUGGUGUGGUGCAGGUUGGAAGUCUCUAAAAUAUUUCCUGCAAAAUAUGAGUUACUGUUUUGGCCCAUUUUUCUGGGAGAUCUAAGUCAACUUUUUAAUUACUUGAAGUCUGAAGGUUUUCCCCCAUAAAUAGAAAAUCAGAAGUGAAAGCUUAACCUAGACCUUUUAGGAAAAAAGGUUGCAUUUUAAAAUCAUGCCACCGCUGUCUUGUUUGGGAAGAGUUCAAGUUGGGUCCAAUCAAAUGUUGAGUCAUCAACUAUUUCAAUGCCCAUAUUCAUCAUGCCUAAGAAAUAUAAGCAUUCUUAUUUUUUUAAUAGGCUCUUUGAAUCAUAUUCUAAAUGAGUGCCAUGUAAAUAAAUUAGCACAACAAUCACGCCAUGCUUUUUUGUCAUCAGGGGUCAUUUUCAUCGGAUGCUUAGUGAUUUCAUUGCACUUGUGUAAUCAGGUGAAGAAGCUCCACCGGAGCAUCCAUGGGUCAGCUAUGUAGACUCUAGCUGCCAAAGGCGCUUCUCCUUCUGAACAGAGCGCUUUGCUCAGCCAGUGUAGACAUGGCCUGAUAAACAAUGGAACUUCUCCCUUGAGCUGGAGUUUGGAUUGAUCUAAUUCUUUAACUCAAACAUGUGCACAGGUUUGAUGAGUGUUUAAAUGCCUGCAUUUUAGUAAAACAGGAACUUAAAUUGACAGUAAUGUGAGGAAUCGCAUAAUUUAUAAUGAACUUGAAAGGCAGGAGCACUCACUGUUGCUCAAGCUAAUCAAGGGACUAUCAAAUCAAGGGUUUAACAUGAGCUUAAAUAUAUGUGGCAGGAGGGUUGUUCUUGCAGGCUUACAUCUGUCAGAUCUUAACACUAAACCUGUCAGGGUGCAACAUGGCCGUGUCACUUUUAACCAAGAUGUCACAUAUAUUGUGAGAAACAACCUGCUUUGUGUUUUCUUCUCUGGGAUUUUACUGGGAAAAGCAAAUGUAAAAGGGAUUUUUUUUUUAACACUGCAUUUUUAUUUUGCAGAUUCUCAGGCUGAUGGAGAGAGUGACGAGCGGGUUGCCAGCUAUAGUCAGCGUGCACAAUGGCUGCAGGGGAAUAUAUUCAGACAUGCCCAAGGAGGUCUGCCCAGGGGGAAACACAUACCUUUGAGGUUUAAAUCAGAAAGGAAGGAGAGGCUGUUUCUACAGGUGUCAUAGAAAAAUCAAUAUUGAGCCACGGAUUAUUGGAUCCCAUAGAACCAUGGAGACUUGGCAGUGAAAUUCUUCCAAAGGCAGACGGUGUUCCUAGGUUUGGAAGGAUAAAUCCCAGGGGAAGUGAGCUGAAGAACAUUUCAUGCAUCACUCAUCCUAUUAUGAGCCCUGUGCUGUUCCAUCUCUCUACAAGGCUGGCUGAAACAACAACAGAAAUUGGUGUGUAAUUCGUAUUCUAACUUUGGAUCACCUGGUUAAUACUCUGACUACCCAAAAAGACAAUGUUCUAUAAGAAGAACUAUCUGUUAAAAGGCCUGCUGCUGCAUUAUUAAUAAAAUAACAGGGAAAAUGCGAUAAUCUGGAUGUCCCAUCUGAUGAGGUAAGGUUUUAUCAUGUCCCAUAAAAUGAGAUUACAUUUGAUUUUAUUUAUCAUUAUCCCAGCCCCAAGAAAGUUUGCAUUUGUCAAUUUGACACAGAAAUCUGUAAUAUAAAGCUUAAUAUACACUAUCUAAACUGCGACCAAUUUCAGGCAUUAAAAGCCAGGCUAUUUAAUGUAUUUUAUUUAUGUGUAAAUUACAUUGUCGUUGCUGUUUUUCUAUCCUUUUCAGCUUGGAAAAUUGUAACUCAGUAUAUCACACAACAUACUUCAAUAAAAAUAAAUUGUGUAUAUUAUAGUUCUGAUGGGGGGCAAAGGCAUACUAUUUUACUGACCUUUGGUGAGGUUUCACUUUUGAUGUGUGAAUUUUUAAAUGUGAACAAACCAAAAACAGUGGCAUACUUGGAAGUAAUCUAAAGCUAAAAUGGGAAGUGAAGAUUUUGUGGUAAGUGCCAGCCUCCUGUUUGCUAUUGCCAUACUUCAGCAUCCACCUGAGAAGAAAAAAAAGUACAAAAGACAAUGGAGAGAUGAUGGAGGAGCUGGGCAUAUGGAAAGUUCCAGGUGCCUGUGGAUACAAUAUGAGGAUACUCAAAUAUCUAGUCCUCUUUUUUUGAUACCUAUCCUGUAAUCCAUCAGAGUGGCCAGGUGCUCUCUUUGUAGUUCAAAAAUAUUAGUGUUUUCAACAUCAGUGCCCAUUAUGGCUAUACCAAAAUCCCCUUCUAUGUGUAAAAUAUAUCUUACCCAUAUCUGAGCAACAUGAUUGUAGCCCUUCUCUCUUUAGGUUAAGCACAUUGUAUGACUUCUCUUAAAAUGUUGCAAAGAUGAAUUUCCACUAGAUAAUUUGUAGUUGGUAAAAUAUCAUGAAUUUUUCAGGGGAAAAGUGGCAAUUAAUGGAAACAUAAUUAUCUUCAAUGUGAAAAUAGUCUAGGAUGCUAACUUUGGCGAGCACAAUGUCUCUAACUCAUUAUCAUUUUCUUUGCUUAUUUUGUUGUCAUUCUUCGGGUUCUUUCUGGAUCCAUCUCUCUUUUGUUUCCCUUCGACUCCUCUAUUGUAUUCCAGUUGGCAGUUAAAGAACCGAAACAGCAAUAAGACUGCGCAGCCACAUUUUCCCAGUGCCACCAACUGGGCGUUAAGCUGACUAACGUUUUGAAAGCCCAGCCCAUUUCGUUCACAGCAGGCAAGGCAGCGGUUGACUGAUUGUACCCGCCAGCUGGCUAAUAUCAUAAUUAACAAAGUUGCUACUACAUCUGCAAAGUUUAAUCGAAAAACUUGCCAGUGAUAUGAUGGCAUUGUCACAAAGAUCACAAGGGACACGGAGUUGACUUUUGCUCAAGGUGGAAUGGCAAAGCUGUAUGGGCAAGAUGAGAAAUCGUGCACUUGUUCAGCCAAAGGUUAUGCUUCAUAUCACCCACCGGGGAGGAUCAUCUCUCAUGAAAAUUUCCAAAUUUGAUUUUGAAAAUUAUUCAGAAAAAUUUAAGCCACGCUAUCUCCCACUGUAGGAAAGAAUAUACUCUGGAGGUUCCUAUAAUUCAAAGAAAAUGGACUGGGAUAACAUUUGGGUUUGCAUGCCACCAAAAUCCUCUCGAGAAGGACAUCCAGGUUUUGCUAAAGGAUCACACUGUGGAAUCUACAACCGUGACAAACUUCUGCACUUACUGCCCCUUGAAAAACAAAAUAUUGGCAUGGGAAGGAGGCUAAUAAUGAAGGGCCGGGGAAGGAGGCCAGUGCUAGGAGGGUUAUCUCACUGCCUCAGAUGCUGGAUAAGUCGAAGGAAGCAGAAUCGCUUUUGGAUGACAUUCAGAAAGGCCGGAGUGAUUAUUUGGGAGAGAAAAGCCUGCCUAUUCUUUUCCAAGGUGCGUGACUGUUCCCCUGGCCUGCCCAUCCACUGAUGAAUUAUUAGCAACGUGCCUUAGACAAAGGACGCACGGGAGCCCCACCACACCUAGAGCCACGCUUUGAAGGAUCUGCCACGCUCCCUUUUAAUCAUGCGAAAGAAAUUACCCACAUGGAGUCAGCAGAAAAUGAGAAAGUAGAGCUCGUGCUGCGAAUAAUUCCAGCAAGUGCCAAGGGGCUAGUUGAGGAAUGGCUUCAUGAAGUGAAUAUCUUUAGCUUGUACUUAGGGUUUGGUUAGCGUAUAAUCAUUUUCUCUUUUAGGAGCGUUGACUAUCCUCAGUGUCUUUCCUCACUAAAGAGUGCUCAGAGCAUUCGUCAGGAUGUUGACAGAUUUAAUAUCAGUCUCGUCCUUGUUGUUAUUUACUAUGACUAAUUUUACAUGUGCAGAUAUGCAAAAAUCAAUUUAGGCGGAGAGGCGCUCCGGAGCCAACGACUGUUAACCGCUGUAUUUGUGUGUGUCUCGCUUGCGAGUGGAUGUCCAGUAAUUUCUGUCUCUGUGUGUGUACGUGCCCUUGUUCUUGUCUUCUCUCCGUUGUGCCAUAGGUUGGGAGGUUUGGCCAGCCAAUGCCUGCUCAGAUGUGGUCUGAGGCUUUCAUCUGAUUUUUGGACCAGGAAAAAAAGAAUGUGUCACAUCAUGAUUAAUGGUCAAUCUGAAUUUUCAAUUCAUAUGAAAGGAGAAGGGGGAGGAGGAUAUGAGCCCAGUGAUGAGACUAACCUUUUCCCUUUGGGAAGAGCAUGAUUCAAAUUAAACAUCACUUUCAGUGUGAAAUUAGUUUGAAGGCUUCUUUUUUUUUCUCCCCCCCCCCCCCGUGCCUGGUUUAACUCCAUGGUGGCUGCUCCUGCAGAGAGGACCCUUCCAUCCGGCCUCUGUGCCCGAAUCUGUUCCCAGUAGGCCAUAGUUCCUCUUCUUUUGUUUUAUUUUUCUAAAGACCAGGUCCAAGAAACCAAAAAAAAAAAAAAAAAAAAAAAAAAAGAAUAUUUUACUAUAAAAGCAUCAUUAUUCACAAGAUAAGAUUUUCCCCAAAACAUGUUAUUUCUUUGUGUCCCACUUAUGUUUCCAAAAAAGAAAAAUAAAUAAACAAACAAAUAAGUAAACAUGUAAAUAAUGUUCUUCUUUUGAGGAUAAUUUUGCCAGGGAGGAGGAAAAGGGAAAGCGAGGGAUCCUUUCCAAAGACCUUUGAGUGCCCUCUGCUUUAUGCCAGUUUCUGCUAGCUGAGUGAGCCACAUUGGAGAACAGCAGCCCCAAACCCCAAGCUUUCCCUCAGUUCUCUAGUUCCCCACGUAACCGAGUCACAGGAUCGCCAUGUCAACCUGCAGCAGCUCUGGCUUCAAGCAAGCAUAUGCCGGGACAGUCUGAAAAUACCCUUCAGUACCUACCAGAGACUCAGGCCCAAGCUUGUAGAAAGAACCCACUGUCCAUGGAAACGCUGGGCUGCUUGCCCACCCGUGCACAUUCUGGAUGCCACAGUUAGGCGUCAUCAGGAUUUGAUGUUCCAUUGAUGCUCUUUCUGGAAUUUGGUGGCUUGUAGAGAAAGGACAAGUAUAGAAAAGGCCAAGAGACAGGCUCGUUCUUCCAUGUCUUUUCAAAAAGAAGAUGCUAGGGCUUUGUAAUCCCUUUCCUACAGGA